CAUUAUCGAACAAAAGAAGGGAGAGGAAGGGGACUGUUGCUGGCUUUGAGCAUGUGCACGUUCCUUCUCUUUCUCCUUCUCUCACCCUCACACUUGUGCACCUUUUGUAGAUCCUUGAAAGAGGAUCUAUGUCUUUUAUCAUCACUUUGAUUGUAUGUCAAUAGAAUGUAAACGAAAUGAAUUACAACUUUCAGCAACGGAUCUCUUGGCUCUCGCAUCGAUGAAGAACGCAGCGAAUUGCGAUAAGUAAUGUGAAUUGCAGAUUUUCAGUGAAUCAUCGAAUCUUUGAACGCAUCUUGCGCUCCUUGGUAUUCCGAGGAGCAUGCCUGUUUGAGUGUCAUUGAAUUCUCAACCAUGUCUUGAUUGACUUUGGGACAUGGCUUGGUUAGUGGGGGUCUGCUGGGGUCAAAAGACAUCAGCUCUCCUGAAAUUGAUUAGCAAUGUAGACCAGCAAGUCUAGCACGCAUGGCCUUCUGGCGUGAUAAUGAUCGUCAUGGGCUGGAGUGUCUGACAUGCAUCUGAUGGUCUGUUUGCUUCUAAUUAGAAUCAGAUGAGGAUGAAGCAUCUGGUAUCUAGCUUAGUUACUAGUUGGCCAUAAGGCUGGCGAACACAAGCACUCGUAGAUCAGGAUGAGUUCCUAUUUCUGUAUAUCAUGGAUUUUGACCUCAAAUCAGGUAGGACUACCCGCUGAACUUAAGCAUAUCAAUAAGCGGAGGAAAAGAAACUAACAAGGAUUCCCCUAGUAACUGCGAGUGAAGCGGGAAAAGCUCAAAUUUUGAAUCUGGCGGUCUGUCGGCCGUCCGAGUU
rnacentral:rRNA from 1 species